GGGGAAUUUUUCCGCAAUGGGCGAAAGCCUGACGGAGCAAGACCGCGUGGGGGAGGAAGGCCUUUGGGUUGUAAACCCCUUUUGUUAGGGAAGAAAAAAAUGACGGUACCUAACGAAUCAGCCUCGGCUAACUCCGUGCCAGCAGCCGCGGUAAUACGGAGGAGGCAAGCGUUAUCCGGAAUUAUUGGGCGUAAAGCGUCCGUAGGUGGCCCGGCAAGUCUGCUGUCAAAGACCACAGCUCAACUGUGGAAAGGCAGUGGAAACUGCAAGGCUAGAGUGCGGUAGGGGUAGAGGGAAUUCCCAGUGUAGCGGUGAAAUGCGUAGAGAUUGGGAAGAACACCGGUGGCGAAAGCGCUCUACUGGGCCGCAACUGA
rnacentral:rRNA from 1 species